UAGGGAAUCUUCCGCAAUGGACGAAAGUCUGACGGAGCAACGCCGCGUGAGUGAAGAAGGCCUUCGGGUCGUAAAACUCUGUUGCCGGGGAAGAACAAGUGCCGUUCGAACAGGGCGGCGCCUUGACGGUACCCGGCCAGAAAGCCACGGCUAACUACGUGCCAGCAGCCGCGGUAAUACGUAGGUGGCAAGCGUUGUCCGGAAUUAUUGGGCGUAAAGCGCGCGCAGGCGGCUUCUUAAGUCUGAUGUGAAAUCUUGCGGCUCAACCGCAAGCGGUCAUUGGAAACUGGGAGGCUUGAGUGCAGAAGAGGAGAGUGGAAUUCCACGUGUAGCGGUGAAAUGCGUAGAGAUGUGGAGGAACACCAGUGGCGAAGGCGGCUCUCUGGUCUGUAACUGACGCUGAGGCGCGAAAGCGUGGGGAGCAAACAGGAUUAGAUACCCUGGUAGUCCACGCCGUAAACGAUGAGUGCUAAGUGUUAGAGGGUUUCCGCCCUUUAGUGCUGCAGCUAACGCAUUAAGCACUCCGCCUGGGGAGUACGGCCGCAAGGCUG
rnacentral:rRNA from 1 species